GUAGGGAAUAUUGGACAAUGGGCGAAAGCCUGAUCCAGCCAUGCCGCGUGUGUGAAGAAGGUCUUCGGAUUGUAAAGCACUUUAAGUUGGGAGGAAGGGCAGUAAGUUAAUACCUUGCUGUUUUGAUGUUACCGACAGAAUAAGCACCGGCUAACUUCGUGCCAGCAGCCGCGGUAAUACGAAGGGUGCAAGCGUUAAUCGGAAUUACUGGGCGUAAAGCGCGCGUAGGUGGUUUUGUAAGUUGGAGGUGAAAUCCCCGGGCUCAACCUGGGAACUGCCUCCAAAACUGCAUGACUAGAGUACGGUAGAGGGUAGUGGAAUUUCCUGUGUAGCGGUGAAAUGCGUAGAUAUAGGAAGGAACACCAGUGGCGAAGGCGACUACCUGGACUGAUACUGACACUGAGGUGCGAAAGCGUGGGGAGCAAACAGGAUUAGAUACCCUAGUAGUCC
rnacentral:rRNA from 1 species